UCAAUUCCCGGGGCAAUAGGGUGUAAGUUGAAUGAGAAAAUCGAGUUUUUGGAUUUUCGUAAGUGUUGGGUUGACCAAGGUCAACAUCGGGAGUAAGUAGGUAUUUUUGGGAAUUUUGUCAAUUACGUUAGUUCUGAAAUUUUGAUUAUAGCUUGGUUGAGUAGUUAGUUCAAUUCUCGAGGGUCUCGGGGGUAUUUUAGUCAUUUGGUUAGAAAGUUAGUUUUAAGGCGUUCGGGGUUGACUGGGUCAAGAUGACCUCUUUUAGAAAUUUCGAGUGCGCGAGUGAGUUCGUAGCGUGUUUUGAUGCUAAGAUGCAUAUUUGGUUUCUAUCCGGGAGGUUCCGGAUGAGUCUCGGGAUUUCAGGGUGAGUUAGUGAAAAACCAAAAAAAUCUGGUUCAGUAGUUUUUGGUGUCCUUCUUCGCGAUCGCGAAGAAGGCAUCGCGUUCGUAAGCUUCCGGUAAGCUGGUCAUUGCGAUCGCAUGGCACUAGCUGCGAUCGUGAUGGUUAAGUCUUUCGCGUCCUGGUGAUCGAGUGGAUGGGUCUCACGAUCGCGAUAGAGGGGGUAUCUGGACAGAAUCUUAAAACCCCCCAAAACGUGAUUUGACUUCCCAUUCACAUAUUCCUCAUUUAGAAGCUCGGGUUGAGAGGAUUUUGGGAGAUUUUGUAAAGACCAUCACUUAGAUUGGAAUCAUUCGGAGGCGAUACGAAAGGGCAAGGCAGCUUUGUGAUUUCGGACUUCAAUAUCUAGGCAAGUUGAGACCUUGUACCUUAUUUAGAGCGUCAUGGUUGGUCUAAACAAAUUAAAUAAGAGGGUGUAAUGAGGUUAUUAAGGGGGUUCCGAUACCUUUGAGGUGACGAGCACUUGUAUUGGGUACCAUUGACAUGUUAUGGGUACUUGUGUAUUUUAAAUUGUAUAGUUGGUCUAAAUGCCACGCUUUGGGCAUUAGCUGGUAGAUAGUAUGAUCCUACGGAUCCAUGAGUGGGGUCUGAAGCCCGUACUUUUCUGUCUCUUUGUUUGUGAGUCUAUCUUGUCUGAUAUGUGUGUCAGUCAUCACUCAUAAAUACUCGUCGAAAAGUGUAAAAGAAGUUAAAACUAUGGCUUUAUGAUGUAAUUGGCUAAAGGUGGAACCUUUAUGGCUUAUAAUGAUUAAAGAUAGAAUCUUUACAGCAUACAUUAGCUUUUUGUUGUUGUAUGUCACAUUCAUGAGUCAUAUGUUAUCUCAUGCUUUAUACUCUUGAGGGCACAUAUGUGGGUCCGAAGGCUAAUGAUUCCGGACGGAGUGAUGAAGACUUUAUGAGUCAAUGGGCUAGAGACAGGUACUAUGAGCCUACAGGGCUAAUUUUUGCAAUAUGGAGCCUACGGGGCUAAAUCAUUGAGAUUGGAAGCCUAAUAAUGGCUAAGGAACCUGAAGGAAAAUGAUUCCCGGUGGUAUAUGGACCUCGCGAGUCCCUAGUGGGUCACUGUUUGCUAAUGUCCGAAUGUGUGUAUACCGGGUGAUGGAAAGGCCUUGUAUUUGCAUUGCUCGCAUAUUUUGUCAUUGCAUAUCAUAUGAUUCUAUUGAUUGUUGGUUGUGACUUGCUUGAGUUGUCAUCUAAUUUACCUUAAUGCUUACUUAGAAACC